AACCCAUCGUGCACCACUUCAGAAGAGGGGGGUGUCAUUACCCUGGUCUGAUAUUCAAAUUGACUUUAUAGGUCCUGUAACAAGAUCUUCAAGAGGUAACAAAUACAUGUUAACCGUUACAUGUAUGUACACAAAGUGGAUAGAAUGUUUGCCUUGUAAAGAGAACACGAGUACCGUGUGCGCCACUUUGUUGAUUAACCAUGUCUUUUCCAGGUUCGGUCUUCCUCAAAGAAUUGAGUCAGACAGAGGUAGUCAUUUUACCAGCGAAGUAAUGGCUAAGAUGUGGAACAUUCUAGGUGUUAAACGAAAGCUAC